UACGGAGGGGGCUAGCGUUGUUCGGAAUUACUGGGCGUAAAGCGCACGUAGGCGGCUUUGUAAGUCAGAGGUGAAAUCCCGGGGCUCAACUCCGGAACUGCCUUUGAGACUGCAUCGCUUGAAUCCAGGAGAGGUGAGUGGAAUUCCGAGUGUAGAGGUGAAAUUCGUAGAUAUUCGGAAGAACACCGGUGGCGAAGGCGGCUACCUGGACAGGUACUGACGCUGAGGCGCGAAAGCCAGGGGAGCAAACAGG
rnacentral:rRNA from 1 species